rnacentral:rRNA from 1 species
GACGAACGCUGGCGGCGCGCCUAACACAUGCAAGUCGAACGAGCGAGAGAGAGCUUACUUUCUCGAGCGAGUGGCGAACGGGUGAGUAACGCGUGAGGAACCUGCCUCAAAGAGGGGGACAACAGUUGGAAACGACUGCUAAUACCGCAUAAGCCCACGGCUCGGCAUCGAGCAGAGGGAAAAGGAGCAAUCCGCUUUGAGAUGGCCUCGCGUCCGAUUAGCUAGUUGGUGAGGUAACGGCCCACCAAGGCGACGAUCGGUAGCCGGACUGAGAGGUUGAACGGCCACAUUGGGACUGAGACACGGCCCAGACUCCUACGGGAGGCAGCAGUGGGGAAUAUUGCACAAUGGGGGAAACCCUGAUGCAGCGACGCCGCGUGGAGGAAGAAGGUCUUCGGAUUGUAAACUCCUGUUGUUGAGGAAGAUAAUGACGGUACUCAACAAGGAAGUGACGGCUAACUACGUGCCAGCAGCCGCGGUAAAACGUAGGUCACAAGCGUUGUCCGGAAUUACUGGGUGUAAAGGGAGCGCAGGCGGGAAGACAAGUUGGAAGUGAAAUCCAUGGGCUCAACCCAUGAACUGCUUUCAAAACUGUUUUUCUUGAGUAGUGCAGAGGUAGGCGGAAUUCCCGGUGUAGCGGUGGAAUGCGUAGAUAUCGGGAGGAACACCAGUGGCGAAGGCGGCCUACUGGGCACCAACUGACGCUGAGGCUCGAAAGUGUGGGUAGCAAACAGGAUUAGAUACCCUGGUAGUCCACACUGUAAACGAUGAUUACUAGGUGUUGGAGGAUUGACCCCUUCAGUACCGCAGUUAACACAAUAAGUAAUCCACCCGGGGAGUACGACCGCAAGGUUGAAACUCAAAGGAAUUGACGGGGGCCCGCACAAGCAGUGGAGUAUGUGGUUUAAUUCGACGCAACGCGAAGAACCUUACCAAGUCUUGACAUCCUGCGACGCACAUAGAAAUAUGUGUUUCCUUCGGGACGCAGAGACAGGUGGUGCAUGGUUGUCGUCAGCUCGUGUCGUGAGAUGUUGGGUUAAGUCCCGCAACGAGCGCAACCCUUAUGGUCAGUUACUACGCAAGAGGACUCUGGCCAGACUGCCGUUGACAAAACGGAGGAAGGUGGGGAUGACGUCAAAUCAUCAUGCCCUUUAUGACUUGGGCUACACACGUACUACAAUGGCGUUAAACAAAGAGAAGCAAGACCGCGAGGUGGAGCAAAACUCAGAAACAACGUCCCAGUUCGGACUGCGGGCUGCAACUCGCCUGCACGAAGUCGGAAUUGCUAGUAAUCGCAGAUCAGCAUGCUGCGGUGAAUACGUUCCCGGGCCU